UACGUAGGUGGCAAGCGUUGUUCGGAAUUAUUGGGCGUAAAGGGCGCGUAGGCGGUUUGUUAAGUCGGUUGUGAAAGCCCGGGGCUCAACCCCGGAGGGUCGACCGAUACUGGCAGGCUAGAGUACAGAAGAGGUAGCUGGAAUUCCCGGUGUAGCGGUGAAAUGCGCAGAUAUCGGGAGGAACACCGGUGGCGAAGGCGGUUCUCUGGGCCUGACCUGACGCUGAGGAGCGAAAGCGUGGGGAGCGAACAGG
rnacentral:rRNA from 1 species